AACUGUAAAAGUAAAGUAUGCAGUCCAAAAAAAAUCACAAAAAAGUCACAGUACGGGAGUCACGUGGGACCUCUGACCAAGAUAACCGCUUAGGAUAAACCUCCCGCCAUAUCGCGCACUUUCCCGCUUGGCAGUUCGAGUAAACCUUUACUGUUUGCUACAUAUCAGAAGUCAGCUGAGGCUUGGACGCAUCCCGACACUGAAUUCAACCACAAGACUAGAAAAUGGCCGCAUCAAGCUCCAAAACGAGACUCUCGAAACACAUCGCUAACAAUGCUAGCAUGGUUAGCCUCUGAAAAUCGAAAAACAAGAGAAUUUGUGAGAUCCAUCAUUUCCGAGACACUCGGCGCUGACCUGUCAGAAACCGAGUUGCAGCAGGCACAUCGCUCCCUUGUUCCGAUGCCAGACCAGGGUCAGCCAAGGGUCAGCCAGCGAGGCCGGUCAUCAUGCCUUUCCACAGUUUUUUAGAGAUGGGGAGGGUGCUCGCGGCCGCCAGAUGAAGAUAUGGAGACGAGGGGAAUUAUCUGGAAUGACUGCAAGAUUUCCUUCUUUCCUGACAUGAUCAGAGAAGUAGCUGAGAAGAGGAGGAGAUUUGCAAACCGACAAACUGACGUAGUUUGUUGUUGUUGCUCAGACAUGGCGACCUUUGACACACAGCCGUGUUAGAUCCUGAAUCCGACCGGAUAAUGAAAGUUUACAGCGCGAACCUCGGCAGUAUCAGAGACUUCAGCAAACUGUCUUUGCAUGGUGAGUAAACAUUUAUCAGUUACUGUUGAAUCACAUGUUGGAUUUUUUCUUUUACUCGCGCUUCGCUUUUACUUAGUUUCUAAUAUACUCCCUUGUUACCAGGUGCACAUGUGGAAAAUUUUCUAUUUAUUUUUUUUCAAUCAGAAAAAUAAAGAAUUCAUCUGUGUAUCUGCAGGGCUCCUCCAACAUCUCAAACAGAGGCCUCAUCAGGUCACUGACAUACUCUGAAAAUCCAGAGGAGGAUCAGCAUCCCCAUCUUGCACUGGCUGUCAUGCUACAGUUUGGAGGAGCAUCUCUACAACCAGCAGGGUCUGCAGCAUACCUACUAACUGUCGGCUGUCACUAGCAUAUGCAUCUCUCUCUCAUGCCAGGCAAAAGUCAUACAAUGUUUCAGAUAAAGGUCUUUGGAUUUGUCAAUCCAAACAUGACGCCCAAUGCUGGAGGAGUGGAUGGUUUUUCAACAA